rnacentral:rRNA from 1 species
GACGAACGCUGGCGGCGUGCUUAACACAUGCAAGUCGAACGGAAAGGCCCUGCUUUUGUGGGGUGCUCGAGUGGCGAACGGGUGAGUAACACGUGAGUAACCUGCCCUUGACUUUGGGAUAACUUCAGGAAACUGGGGCUAAUACCGGAUAGGAGCUCCUGCUGCAUGGUGGGGGUUGGAAAGUUUCGGCGGUUGGGGAUGGACUCGCGGCUUAUCAGCUUGUUGGUGGGGUAGUGGCUUACCAAGGCUUUGACGGGUAGCCGGCCUGAGAGGGUGACCGGCCACAUUGGGACUGAGAUACGGCCCAGACUCCUACGGGAGGCAGCAGUGGGGAAUAUUGCACAAUGGGCGGAAGCCUGAUGCAGCAACGCCGCGUGCGGGAUGACGGCCUUCGGGUUGUAAACUGCUUUCGCCUGUGACGAAGCGUGAGUGACGGUAAUGGGUAAAGGAGCACCGGCUAACUACGUG